CAAGACUGCCUUUAUCUGAAAGACGAAAGAAGGAACUGUUACAUUUUGCAUGCAAAGAAAGCCAGAGUGGCUAGAUUACUCCCUUAGGGUAAUGGAGAAAGGAAAAAGAAAUUGAAAAAGGUCAGGUGAACAAAGCAGAAGGAAUGAAGAGUUCAGGAAACCAGGCUGAAGAAUGUGAAAUACAUCGCCCAAAGUCAGACACGGAGGAACAACUGCUUCGGAGCUAGCAAUUUCCUGAGCUGGAAUUGCACCACUGGCCUGUAGAAUCCAAACUGUUUUCUACCAGAACAACUCCUUCCCUGCAGGAAGCAGGGUGUGCACAGCUGAACCCUGGUCUGAGAAGGUUGAAGUCACUGACUCAGCCCCAGCAAGGAAGUUGCCCUUCGACUUCUGACCUCUGGCCCUGUUUGAAAACCAACUCAAAUCGUUUUUCUUUUUCAGAAGCUGCUUGCCUCCGCUUCACCUUCCACCAUGAUUGUAAGUUUCCUGAGGCCUCCCAGUCAUGCUUGCCGUUAAAACUGUGGAACGGCUUUACAACGAAUGUAAAAGACAAGUCUCAGGAAAAGAUGUAAUUUUAUGGAAGAAAAAAGAUAGAAAAUAACAUUACCCAAAUGAAAACAGAUGAAGAUAAAGAUCAUUUCUUGAACAAGAAAAGUGACAACUUAAAAACUUUCUUUAAACAUAUCACUCUGACACCAAUGUGUAAGAUGAAGUGGACAGGAAUGGAACUGUACUGGGAGGCUCUGACAGUUCGGGUGAGAAGAAAUGAAGGGGCCAGCAAGAAGAGGUCCCAAUCUGGGAUAUGCUUUCCUCAUGUUAAAGG
rnacentral:lncRNA from 10 species